UGGAUUGGCAAGGGCAGAAACUAGCGGAGCAGUGGUUGCAGAUCCUGCUGCUGGCUUUCGCUGCGGCGGCGUUCGCAACGGGCUACGCCUUGGGCUCGUUUGAGACAAUGUUUCUAACAUACGUCUCGGGAGUAAUCAUCACUACUCUGAUCACCGUUCCCAACUGGCCUUUCUUCAAUCGCCGCCCUCUCAAGUGGCUGGAUCCAAUCGAAGCCGAAAAACACCCGAAGCCGCAGCAGAUAGCUGCUAAGUAGUUUGGUUAACUGGAUGCAUUAGUACAUUUCUACCUGCCCCUGUUGUCCCACAAAUUUGGAUAUGUGGCGUAUCGCCUUCCCAUUCCCGCUCCCAUUCCUUAUAUCUGGACAAUCUGCACAUGGAAAGUGCAUUGGUGAUGUGACUGUGGAAUGAAUGCAGUCGCACGAAGAAUCUCACUGUUGUUGAGGUCGCAUUGGAUUUUGCAUUCUGAUUGAUUGUGGUUGUUUCAAAAUCAAAUUGAAUUGGUUUUUUUGUUGUCCCAUUUUAUCAGGUUGACUUAACGUUUUUUUUCCCCUUUGUCAGACUUCUCAUUUACAUCAAUUGCUAGAAAGUGAAUUUCUACUUCA